CUCUCUCUCUCUCUCUCUCUAAAAUUUCAUAUUGGAAAUGGCAUUAACACUACCACAGCUUAUCCCUUCACCUCCAUCAUCUUCCACUCUAUCUCACAAACCCUGCCAAAACCCCACCAGACUCUCCAUAAACCCUAACUUCCCAUCCUCCUCAACAACUCAUGUCCUCCACCACCACCGCCGCCGCCGGGGGGGCAACCUCACGUGCUCGGCUUCGUCUUUCUCGGAGAAGCAUCACACCGACUCCCCGAGGUCCGACGACGUGGUGGAGCUUCCUCUGUUUCCACUCCCUUUGGUGCUCUUCCCCGGCGCCAUCCUCCCUCUCCAGAUCUUCGAGUUCCGCUACCGCAUCAUGAUGCACACACUCCUCCACACCGAUCUCCGCUUCGGCGUCAUCUACACCGACGCCGUCACCGGCACCGCCGAGGUCGGCUGCGUCGGCGAGGUCAUCAAGCACGAGCGUCUCGUCGAUGACCGAUUCUUUCUGAUCUGUAAAGGNNNNNNNNNNNNNNNNNNNNNNNNNNNNNNNNNNNNNNNNNNNNNNNNNNNNNNNNNNNNNNNNNNNNNNNNNNNNNNNNNNNNNNNNNNNNNNNNNNNNNNNNNNNNNNNNNNNNNNNNNNNNNNNNNNNNNNNNNNNNNNNNNNNNNNNNNNNNNNNNNNNNNNNNNNNNNNNNNNNNNNNNNNNNNNNNNNNNNNNNNNNNNNNNNNNNNNNNNNNNNNNNNNNNNNNNNNNNNNNNNNNNNNNNNNNNNNNNNNNNNNNNNNNNNNNNNNNNNNNNNNNNNNNNNNNNNNNNNNNNNNNNNNNNNNNNNNNNNNNNNNNNNNNNNNNNNNNNNNNNNNNNNNNNNNNNNNNNNNNNNNNNNNNNNNNNNNNNNNNNNNNNNNNNNNNNNNNNNNNNNNNNNNNNNNNNNNNNNNNNNNNNNNNNNNNNNNNNNNNNNNNNNNNNNNNNNNNNNNNNNNNNNNNNNNNNNNNNNNNNNNNNNNNNNNNNNNNNNNNNNNNNNNNNNNNNNNNNNNNNNNNNNNNNNNNNNNNNNNNNNNNNNNNNNNNNNNNNNNNNNNNNNNNNNNNNNNNNNNNNNNNNNNNNNNNNNNNNNNNNNNNNNNNNNNNNNNNNNNNNNNNNNNNNNNNNNNNNNNNNNNNNNNNNNNNNNNNNNNNNNNNNNNNNNNNNNNNNNNNNNNNNNNNNNNNNNNNNNNNNNNNNNNNNNNNNNNNNNNNNNNNNNNNNNNNNNNNNNNNNNNNNNNNNNNNNNNNNNNNNNNNNNNNNNNNNNNNNNNNNNNNNNNNNNNNNNNNNNNNNNNNNNNNNNNNNNNNNNNNNNNNNNNNNNNNNNNNNNNNNNNNNNNNNNNNNNNNNNNNNNNNNNNNNNNNNNNNNNNNNNNNNNNNNNNNNNNNNNNNNNNNNNNNNNNNNNNNNNNNNNNNNNNNNNNNNNNNNNNNNNNNNNNNNNNNNNNNNNNNNNNNNNNNNNNNNNNNNNNNNNNNNNNNNNNNNNNNNNNNNGGGAUGGGUAACUCGUGGCGGGGCGGGUGGGGGGAGUGCGAACGCGACAGAGAGACAGAGAACGGAUGGACGGGAAGAGGAUGAUGAUGGGUGGGAAAGAAUUUUUCUUUCAAAUUCUUCAUUCUCCUGAAGAGAAAGAAUCUGAAUAUGGAGAUGAGGGGAGAGAACAGUAUAUCAAGGGAAAUGAGAAAACAUUGAGAAAAAGAAAGGUCUAGGAGCCAAGGAAGUGGAGAAGGGAAGAAAAUUGAUUGGACACAGUUGAGGUGGGCAGUCGUUGGAAUGGGAGAAGCGUGAAUGGAGAAGAAAAUCUCGAGGAAGGGAGACUUGGAAACGGGAGAGUAGUAAAUGCAGCAGUCAAGGAUUAAAAUGAACAUAUGCAAAUUUUGAAAAUCAUGGAGAGAAACACCUAAAUGGGUGGGGACCAGCGAAAGAUGAUUGGUGAAUGAGUGCCACGUAAAAUAUGACUGGAGAAGAAGAAUAAAGGAGAAAAUGACACAUAAUCAGGGAAAGGAGGGAAGCAAGGAGAGGAAGCCACAUAGGAAUUCCACUCAUUUUGAGAAUGCACCAGAGAAGAGAAUGCAUCUAGUUGCGACACAUCAGUAAAUGGUUCUCAUAACCCUUGCUGUUUUAAUAUAUAUAUUGAUAUAUAUUGAUUAAUUGGUUUCAGCCUUACAGGGGUAUUGGUCCAAAUUGGUGUUUUAUGGGAAAACAUGGAUUGAUUGAACUAUUGCAACAUGCCAGGCCUUGACUUCAAAUGCCAUUCCUUCACUUUGAGGUGAAAUGGAGUGGAGGAAAGACUGGAUUGGGGAGUAGCUAAUUUCUUUUUGUUUUCUAAGGUAUAUAUCCAUCAACCGACAAUCAGGAGACUAAUCCUCGAAGCUCUAAGAUCAAGUUGGGUACGUCUCUCCCAAAAAAAUCAUUUUCCAUGUGAACUGACCAUUGACAUUUUGACCCAUAAAUUGACAGAACUCAUUAUAGAUUAUUGAUAAACAAACUGCAAUUAAUAUAGGGGACCCUUAAUAAAGAUCUCGUAUCUUCCACUUCCAGACAGUUUCUGCCUCUUGCCCCUUUCUUUUGGUCUACCAGUUCUAAAAGAUUGAUCUCCCAAAUACCUGGUUCUCUGUGUGGCGUUGAAUCAUCAGUUUUCACAAUUCAGUACCCAGGAAUCAAAGAAUAUGGUAGCUGAACGAGCUAAGCUGCACUUAGCUUUAACGUUUUUACAGUUUUGUUAUGCAGGAAAUCACAUAUUUGUGAGGAUUGCACUUGAUACAGGCGUCAGCAAGCUUGUGUUUCCUGUCUAUAGAAACAUCACUGCUCUUCUUCUUCUGGGUCCCCUCGCUUAUUUUUCAGAGAAGUAGGCACUUCAGUCCUAUCCUAUACCAUACAUACAUGAAUUCUUUCACAUUCCCAGUCUCAGCUAUCUCACCUUUUUUCUUUUUCUUUUUUUGGAUCUGUUUGUUUCCCUCUUUGUAAGGAAAGACAGGCCAUCAAUAACCGGUUACUGUCUACUACAAUUUUUCCUUCUAGGACUUGUUGGGUAUGUAUCAUCUUUCCAUUAAGCUACUCCACUGUAUCAAUAAAUUGACAAUGUAUGUGUAACUUAAAUGCUAAUUUUGAUUCUUGCAGAAUAACAUUGAAAGAAGGAUUGUACCUUUUGGGUUUGGAUAACACUUCACCUACCUUCACUUCUGCUAUGCAGAACUCUGUUCCAGCUUUGACCUUUCUCAUGGCUGUCAUACUCAGGCAAGCUAUGAAGUUCUUACUUUUAAGUGCAUGUUUGAUAAUUCUUUCACUAUUGAUUCUACAGCUAAAAUUAAUUCUGAGAAUAAGCUUCCGUGAGUAGCUUUUGAGUGUCAGAGCUAUUCUGAUAAAAGAGAAGUUGGUCCAUAUAUUAAAAUAUUUGUAGAAAUGCUUGUAUAACAUUGUUCAAUUAUACAUGUGAAAUGCAGAUAUGAGAGUGUGCACUUCAAUAGGAUAGAUGGUCUGGCUAAGGUCCUUGGAGUCCUUGCUUCUGUUGGAGGAGCUUCAAUCAUUACCCUUUACAAGGGGCCUACGAUUUAUACGCCAAAUUUAGCACAGCAUCAGGAGCAAUUCUUGUCUGUGCUCCGGGAUGUCACAGCAAAAAACAUGAACAUGGGUGGCAUUUAUCUUAUUGGUCACUGCUUAUGUUGGUCUGGUUGGAUUGUGAUGCAAGCAUUUGUUCUGAAAAACUACUCAGCCCCUCUCACAGUUUCUGCGUUUACUUGCUUCUUUGGUAUUGUGCAGUUUAUAACAAUUGCAGCCUUUUUCGAGAAGGAUCCCAAAUCCUGGCAACUCAAUUCUAGUCAAGAGAUCUACAGCAUUUUGUAUUCGGUUUGUAAAUCAAACUUAGUUGGGUUAUUCACUAGCAUGUUGCUCUCUAUGUUCACAACUAAUAUCAGUUUUCUCUAUGAGCUGCUUCUACCUCCUUACUUAAUUUAGUGAUCAUAAUUGAUUACCUUGACAUCAAUAAAACUCAUUUUAACUGUUCGGAUCUAUUAUGUAACUAGUUUUCAUGUUACAAAUUACAUGUUUAAGGAAGCCAAGUAUAACAAAUAUGAUGAUAACAAAAUAGACUUGUUUGUAUCAGGGUCUGGUGUUUUCAGGGCUGGCAGCAGCAUUACAGAUAUGGGCUAUUGGCAAGGGAGGGCCAGUGCUUGCUUCAAUUUAUCUUCCUUUACAGACAUUACUUGUAGCCUUGAUGUCAUCCAUUGUUUUUGGAGAAGAUUUCUUCUUGGGAGGGUGGGAUGUCUUGAUUCAAGCUGCUUCAAUUUCUUUUUGUUAUCUUAAAACUUUUCUAAUUGCAAAAUAUGCUUCCCCCUAGAGGGAGUUCUAAACUAAAAGUUGGAUUAUCUGAGAUUUGUUUAUUAGUUAUCCAAAGUGCCUUUGACUUAUGCUAUAUAAAUCUAAAUAUUUUCAAUUUUGAGGUGCAGGAUUAUUGGAGCUUUCUUAAUUAUGACGGGCUUAUACCUUGUUGUGUGGGGAAGAACUCAAGAAACCAAGUCUGCCAAAGAGUACAUGAAAGUCCCCAUUGAGUCUGAGAAUCACCCGGAAGCAAAAAUUGGGAGUGGUUCUCUCAUGCAACAAUUGAUUCCUACACAAAAUGUUUAGAUGAUAGAGCUGAAGAAUUUAUAUGAUAGUAAAACUGUAAAAGUCCUUUAAGGGGGACCAACUAAUGCAACAUUUAUUUGUUGCAGCAACGUUAUAUGAUUUGUUUCACUAAUUCUUGCAUCCCUCUACUAUUUUUUUUUGGUCAAUAAUUUGUAAUUUAUACUUAAUUUUUUUAUAAUUAAACAACUUGUAGAAAAAUAUUAUUGUAUUUUUAUUCUUUCACACCUCACUUAUACUUUUAUUUCAUAUCUACCCAUUGUAAUAUUUAUCACUCUUUUGCUCUUAUUUCUCUUUUCGGGUGUGGGUGUAAUGAUUGUGAAUAAGUAUUAUUGUGAAAAAAGAAAGAAUAAGAGGGGCUUGGUUUUUUUGGUAAACCCAUGGUUACAAAACGAUAACCCCUUACCACAACAUGUGUUCAUUUCCAUAAAUAAGGAUAAAUUCUCAAACAUCAUACUUAAAGAACGAAGUGAGCUAACCACUACUCACACACUUUAUCUUUAAUGAAGGGCUUGGUAAGCCACUAAGGUAAAUGAAGACAGCAAGGAAUAUUAACAGAGCAACACUAAAUGACAUUCAAAUUAAGAUUUUAGUAAUCGUUGACAAAAAUAAGUACAUUCAGGCAUCUUUGAAGGAAACAUCAUUUUUCUGAAUGAAUCAAAAUCCAGUAACAUAACAUGGUUGGUUAACCAAUCAAAUAUUCAAAAUAAACUUUGAAGGCUUUGCCUCGAGGAGAUUAGUAUAAUGACCAUCGGCUUUGGGAUAACUAGGGGAAAAAAACUGUAUAAUUAUAAUUAGUUGGUUACAGGCGUGUUGGUCCAAAUUGGUGUUCUAUGGGAAAACAUGGAUUGAUUUUUAUUAAUAUUUUGACAGUAAACAUGGAGUGAUUGAGCUAUUGCAACAUGUCAGGCUUUGACUUCAAAUGCCCUUCCUUCACUUUGGGGUGAAAUGGAGUGGAUGAAAGAUUGGAUUGAGGAGUGUAGCUAAUAUUCAAUGGCGCAUCACAAUCACAUGCACGCAAGCAAUCCAAUUACUAACAGUAGAUUAUUAGAGUGUCCAUUAACACUUUUUACCAUGAAGCGACAGAAAUUAUUUAUAGAUUACUAAUAAACACGUUGCACUUUGUUUUCUUUUGUCACCACUUACAAGAAGGUAGAACUAAACAAGAUUGCAAUUAUUAUAGAUCUCUUAUCUUCCACUUCCAGACAGUUUUUGCCUCUUGCCCCUGGUCAACCAGUUCUAAACAUUGAUCUCCGAGUACCUGCUUCUCUUUUUGGCAUUGAACCAUCAGUAUUCACUAUUCAGUACCUGGGAACAAGAGAAUAUGGUAGCUGAACGAGCUAAGCUGCACUUAGCUUUAACGUUUUUGCAAUUUUGUUAUGCAGGAAACCACAUAUUUGUGAGGAUUGCACUUGAUUCAGGCGUCAGCAAGCUUGUAUUUCCUGUCUAUAGAAACAUCACUGCUCUUCUUCUUCUGGGUCCCUUAGCUUAUUUUUCAGAGAAGUAUGCACUUCAGUUCUAUACCAUAUAUAAAUGAAUUCUGUCAUGUUCCCAGUUUCAGCUAUCUUACCUUUUUCUUUUUCUUUUUUGGAUCUUAUUGUUUGCCUCUUUGCAAGGAAAGACAGGCCAUCAAUAACCAGAUAUUGUCUUGUCCAAUUUUUCCUUCUAGGACUUGUUGGGUAUGUAUGAUCUUUCCAUGAAGCUACUCCACUGUAUCAAUUAAUUGGCAAUGUUUGUGUAACUUAAAAAGUAUUAAUUUUGAUUCUUGCAGAAUAACAUUGAAAGAAGGGUUCCAUCUUUGAAGGAAACAUCAUUUUUCUGAAUGAAUCAAAAUCCAGUAACAUAACAUGGUUGGUUAACCAAUCAAAUAUUCAAAAUAAACUUUGAAGGCUUUGCCUCGAGGAGAUUAGUAUAAUGACCAUCGGCUUUGGGAUAACUAGGGGAAAAAAACUGUAUAAUUAUAAUUAGUUGGUUACAGGCGUGUUGGUCCAAAUUGGUGUUCUAUGGGAAAACAUGGAUUGAUUUUUAUUAAUAUUUUGACAGUAAACAUGGAGUGAUUGAGCUAUUGCAACAUGUCAGGCUUUGACUUCAAAUGCCCUUCCUUCACUUUGGGGUGAAAUGGAGUGGAUGAAAGAUUGGAUUGAGGAGUGUAGCUAAUAUUCAAUGGCGCAUCACAAUCACAUGCACGCAAGCAAUCCAAUUACUAACAGUAGAUUAUUAGAGUGUCCAUUAACACUUUUUACCAUGAAGCGACAGAAAUUAUUUAUAGAUUACUAAUAAACACGUUGCACUUUGUUUUCUUUUGUCACCACUUACAAGAAGGUAGAACUAAACAAGAUUGCAAUUAUUAUAGAUCUCUUAUCUUCCACUUCCAGACAGUUUUUGCCUCUUGCCCCUGGUCAACCAGUUCUAAACAUUGAUCUCCGAGUACCUGCUUCUCUUUUUGGCAUUGAACCAUCAGUAUUCACUAUUCAGUACCUGGGAACAAGAGAAUAUGGUAGCUGAACGAGCUAAGCUGCACUUAGCUUUAACGUUUUUGCAAUUUUGUUAUGCAGGAAACCACAUAUUUGUGAGGAUUGCACUUGAUUCAGGCGUCAGCAAGCUUGUAUUUCCUGUCUAUAGAAACAUCACUGCUCUUCUUCUUCUGGGUCCCUUAGCUUAUUUUUCAGAGAAGUAUGCACUUCAGUUCUAUACCAUAUAUAAAUGAAUUCUGUCAUGUUCCCAGUUUCAGCUAUCUUACCUUUUUCUUUUUCUUUUUUGGAUCUUAUUGUUUGCCUCUUUGCAAGGAAAGACAGGCCAUCAAUAACCAGAUAUUGUCUUGUCCAAUUUUUCCUUCUAGGACUUGUUGGGUAUGUAUGAUCUUUCCAUGAAGCUACUCCACUGUAUCAAUUAAUUGGCAAUGUUUGUGUAACUUAAAAAGUAUUAAUUUUGAUUCUUGCAGAAUAACAUUGAAAGAAGGGUUCUACCUUUUGGGUUUGGAUAACACUUCACCUACCUUUGCUGCUGCUAUGCAGAACUCUGUUCCAGCUCUGACCUUUCUCAUGGCUGUAGUACUCAGGCAAGCUAUAAAGUUCUUACUUUAAAUCCAUGUUUCAAAGCUCUUCUAUAAUUGAUUCCAAAGCUAAAAUUAAUUCUGAGUAUAAGUUUUUGUGAGUAGCUUACGAGUGUCAGAAUUAUUCUCGAAAAAAAAAAAGUUGGUCCAGUAAGACGCUUACAAAGUAUAUGUAGAAAUACUUAUAUGACAUUGAUCAAUUAUACGUGAAAUGCAGAUAUGAGAGUGUGCACUUCAAUAGGAUGGAUGGUCUGGCUAAGGUUCUUGGAGUCCUUGCUUCUGUUGGAGGAGCUUCAAUCAUUACCCUUUACAAGGGACCUACAAUUUAUACGCCAAAUUUAGCACUGCAUCAGGAGCAAUUCUUGUCUGUACUCAGGGAUGUCACAGCAAAAAACAUGAACAUGGGUGGCAUUUAUCUUUUUGGUCACUGCUUAUGUUGGUCUGGUUGGAUUGUGAUGCAAGCAUUUGUUCUGAAAAAUUACUCAGCUCCACUCACAGUUUCUGCGUUUACUUGCUUCUUUGGUAUUGUGCAGUUAAUAACAAUUGCAGCCUUUUUCGAGAAGGAUCCAAAAGCCUGGCAACUCAAUUUUAGUGAAGAGAUUUACAGCAUUUUGUACUCGGUUUGUAAAUCAAACUUAAUUGGGUUAAAAUUCACUAGCAUCCUUCAUUAGCAUGUUGUUCACUUCAUGUUACUAUUUCUACCUCUUUACUUAAUUUGGUGAUCCUAAUUGGUUACCUUGACAUCAAUAAAACUUAUUUCAACUAUUAGGAUCUAUUAUGUAACUAGUUUUAUGUUACCAAUUACAUGUGAAACAAAGCAUACCAAGUAUUUGAUAAAAAAAAUAGGCUUGUUUGUAUCAGGGUCUGGUGGAUUCAGGGCUGGCAGGCUGGUUACAGAUAUGGGCUAUUGGCAAGGGAGGGCCAGUGCUUGCUUCAAUUUAUCUGCCCCUACAGACAUUACUUGUUGCAUUGAUGGCAUCCAUUGUUUUUGGAGAAGAUUUCUUCUUGGGAGGGUGGGUUGUUGUGAUUCAAGCAACUUCAUUUCUUAUUUGUUAUCUUAAAACUUUUCUAAUUGCAAAAUAUGCUUCCCCCUAGAGGGAGUUCUAAACUAAAAGUUGGAUUAUCUGAGAUUUGUUUAUUAGUUAUCCAAAGUGCCUUUGACUUAUGCUAUAUAAAUCUAAAUAUUUUCAAUUUUGAGGUGCAGGAUUAUUGGAGCUUUCUUAAUUAUGACGGGCUUAUACCUUGUUGUGUGGGGAAGAACUCAAGAAACCAAGUCUGCCAAAGAGUACAUGAAAGUCCCCAUUGAGUCUGAGAAUCACCCGGAAGCAAAAAUUGGGAGUGGUUCUCUCAUGCAACAAUUGAUUCCUACACAAAAUGUUUAGAUGAUAGAGCUGAAGAAUUUAUAUGAUAGUAAAACUGUAAAAGUCCUUUAAGGGGGACCAACUAAUGCAACAUUUAUUUGUUGCAGCAACGUUAUAUGAUUUGUUUCACUAAUUCUUGCAUCCCUCUACUAUUUUUUUUUGGUCAAUAAUUUGUAAUUUAUACUUAAUUUUUUUAUAAUUAAACAACUUGUAGAAAAAUAUUAUUGUAUUUUUAUUCUUUCACACCUCACUUAUACUUUUAUUUCAUAUCUACCCAUUGUAAUAUUUAUCACUCUUUUGCUCUUAUUUCUCUUUUCGGGUGUGGGUGUAAUGAUUGUGAAUAUAACAAUGAUUUUUUUACUUGAAUGAGCAAUGAUUAUCUCGUGCUACUUUUUUUUUUUUUAAAAAAAAGUAUAUUUUUUAUUUAGUUAGAAGAUAAUGUAAUGUAUUUAUAUUUAAAUUAAUUAAUUUUGAGUUAAAAUAAUAUUCCGUUAGCCUCUUUUGGAUGGUGUUAAAGGGGGUGGGGGUGGAGUGUAGAAUUUAGAGAAGAAUUCAGUUAAGUGUAAUUGUGAGAUUAUUAUUGGGGUGGAGUGCAUAUUUUGGAUAAGAAUGGAGCUAAGUGUUAUUCUCACAAAUCUUGAGGGAGGUGAGUGUAUUUUACUCUAUUUCUUUUUAUAAUUGAACCAUCUUUACAAAAAUGUUGUUGCAAUAAAAAAAAAAUUAUUUAUUCAUACCUCUCUUACUCUUUUAUUCCAUAUCUACCCAUUUUCUUUUUUAUAUUUCUCUUUUUUUCCUAUCGCAUUACUUAUAAUAUUUCAUAUUUUUCUUUUGAGUGAGUGAAAUUAUUAUUGAAAGAAAAAGGGAAUAGGAGGGGAUUCAUAAGGUAAAUGAAAAGAAUUAUGAAUAUUUCGUAAAGCCAACACGACAUAACAUUCUAAGAGCAUCUUCAACACUAAUUCUUACGUUAGUUCUUACCACUAAGCAAUGUUAACUUAUUUUUUCUUUUCAUUGGAGCACAUUGAAGUUGCUUGUUGCUUGAAAUUAAGCAAUGAUAGCUCUUGCGAGCAACAAUUGCUUAGUCAAUUCUUAAGAAUCCCGCCAUGCAUCAUCAAAUUUUAUGGCAGACACAAUUCUGACUAGUUUUUCGCACUACUUUUCUAGCAGUUGAAGACUAUCAUGUCUGUUUAAUGAAAAUGUGACCAACCCUAACUACUUGUGGAGCACACAAAUACACACCCAAAUCACAUUGUAACAAACUUUGUACAACUAGCUUAUGAGUUGGUUGUGGAAAAAAAAUUAAGAACACCAUUAGAGUCUCCAUAAGUUACUUAUGACUUGCUUAUUUUCUUUUGGGUUAAAAACUAUAAACGUCCCUGAACUUUGAGCGAGUUUUGAAAACCGUCCCUCGCCGGAAAAUUAUCUGAGAACCAUCCUCAGACUUUCAAAAACAAUAUCAACCCGUCCCUCCGGCCACCAUAGCUCCGGCAACCCCCUUAUGUGGCAUUCCACGUCAAUUAAUGAGAUGACGUGUAUUUUUUUUAAAAUUUAAUUUAUGUCUCUAAUUAUCUAACACUAAUUUUAAUCCCUAAUCACUAAACAUAAAUCUCUAAAUCUAUCUACACAUAAAACCCCCAAAUCUGAGUUAGGGUUCAUCGUGUUCCUCUCCUUCUUCUCCCUUCGUUUUAAUCCUCUUCUUCUCCCUUCCUUUAUCAUCUUCUUCUUCUCCCAUCGUGUUCAUCUUCUUCUUCGUUUUCUGGUUUUGAUUCACCCAUCGAGCAAGACGAUGAGAAGGCCAACAACUUCUUCUACUUUUGCCUCUGGUUCUCGUGCUUCUUCUCUGAACACGUUGCCUCCUGGAGGAAUUUGCUAGUGUGGAGAAUUGAUUUUGCACUUGACUUCACACACUCCUGAGAACCCAGAUCGAGAUGAAGACGACCCUAAUCAAGAUUCAAGAUGAAGAUGGCCCAUUGCCAUUGAUUUCAGAGAUGUUGCUAUUGUUGUUGAUUUCGUUACAUCUUCCCUUCGAAACAGAGCCUUGCGAAACCAACACCUCCAUCAUCCUUUCUCGAACAAAUCUUGUCCUCAAGCUCCACAACUUCGAACUGUCACCACCAUGACCGGAAAGCCCACCAGCGCACAUGGCGGUGGCUGGUCAGGAAACGAUGGCGAUUCAAGGAGAACUGUCAAAACAGGGUCGAACAGAGGGGUAGUAGGAGGACGAGAUUGGAGGAGGAGAAGAAGAAGAAGACGACAAUGGGAGAAGAAGAUGAAGAAGAACGGUGUAGAAGAAGAAGGUAAUUAGAUUGGGAAAGUUAGAACCCUAACUCAUGAAUUGGGGAAAAGAGAAUCAGAUUUGUGUGUUUUGAUUUUGAUUAGCAUUAGGGAUUUAUGUUUGGGGAUAAUUGGGUUAAAUAAUUUUUUUUUUAAUUUUAAAUAAAAAAAAUUACACGUAGGCUAAUUAAUUGACGUGGACAGUCACGUAAGCCACUGAUCGAACCCAAGGCGGACAGAGGGACGGGUCAAAUUUGUUUUUGAAAGUCUGAGGAUGGUUCUCAGAUAAUUUUCCGGCGAGGGACAGUUUUCAAAACUCGCUCAAAGUUCAGGGACGGUUAUAGUUUUUAACCAUUUUCUUUUUGGGAGAAACUUAUAUGCAGUUCUAUUUGUGCUGUUUUUGCUGUUCACCAAUUAAAAGAUGACAUGUGUAUUAAUGAAUCCACCUCACCAUAAUUAAUGGUUAUAUCUGGUUCACACCGUUAAACCCUCACUUCCUUCCGUUUUCUCUUUGCGUUUUCUCUCAACUCUACCGUUCUGUCUUCUCAACGCUGUGCGAACCAGAGAAACGAUUUGCCUCUGUACUUCGCCAUCAUCUCUGUUGCGCUUUAUUUUGAGAACGAAAUUCUCUGAUUUUAUCGUUUCCCCGUAGCAGAUCUCACUGUUUUUCCGGCAGGAAGCGGAUCCAAGUCAAAGAAAAACAACAAGGGUGUGUGGGUGGAAGUUUGAUGGAGGAAUUGAGAAGAAAAGACGGCGAUAACCAAGAAAAUAAAAGGGUUUAACGGUGUGAACCAAAUAACACUUAAUUAUGAUGAGGUGGAUUCAUUAAUACACAUGUCAUCUUUUAAUUGGUGAACAGCAAAAACAGCACAAAUAAAACUGCAUAUAAGUUUCUCCCUUUCUUUUUAGGGUCAUAGUACUUGCAACCCAACUAAGCAAUGCUAUAAUAAAGGUUUGAGAAUCGUUGACCAAAAUAAAGAUUUGAGAACUGUGUUGAAAAUUUUUCUUGUAAGAGGGGUUGUGAAAGCGCCAAGGAAGAGGGAAGCAGAGAAUUGCCGCAGUAACAGACAUGGCAGAGGUUGCGGUGUCAACGGUGGUGACCAAACUGUCGCAACUGCUACUGGAGCAAGCAACCGCAGCAGUUUCACCGUUGGCCGGAGUGAGAUCGCAAGUGGAGAGUCUGAAGAACGAACUGGGGUGGAUGCAGUGCUUUCUGCGGGACGCAGAGGCCAAACAAGAAGGCAACGAGCGCGUUCGCAUGUGGGUUUCCGAAAUCAGAGAACUCGCUUUCGAAACCGAGCAAGUCAUCGAAACCUUCAUGUACAGAGCCACAAUGCAAACCAACACGAACAGAGUGUUGAAACCCUUGCAUCUCUACAAGGUUGGACGAAGAAUCGACAAGAUCCUUAGCAAAAUCAAGGAGAUUUCCGACAGGCGCGAGAAUUACGGCGUUGUAAUGAGCGGUGACAGCCGCGGAGGCGGAAGCGGAGGCGGAAGCGGAAGCGGAAUCAGUAGUAGUGAAAGGUUGAGGCAUUGGAGGCAACCUUCACCUUACUCUGAAGAAGAGUGUGUGAUUGAGCUUGAAGAUGAUUUUGAUUUGGUUCUUAACCAGUUGAUUGCAUUGGAGUCAACGCGGCAUGUGGUUUCUAUAGUUGGGAUGGGUGGUUUGGGGAAGACUACAUUGGCCAAGAGGCUUUACAAUCAUACCGGAAUCGCGAACCAUUUCGAGUGUAAAGCGUGGGUGUAUGUUUCGAAAGAGUACAGGAGAAGGGAUGUUCUGCAAGGGAUUUUAAGGGAUGUGGAUGCUCUUGGCGGUAGGGAUGAAGUACUGGAUAGGUUGCCGGAGGAGGAGUUGGUGAACAAGUUGCGCAAUGUGUUGGCGGAGAAAAGGUAUUUGGUGGUGCUUGAUGACAUUUGGGGGAUGGAGGUUUGGGAUGGUCUUAAAUCUGCUUUUCCUAGAAGGAAGGUGGGGAGUAGGAUAAUGCUCACAACUAGGAACUGGGAGGUUGCUUUACAUGCUGAUGCUAGAAGUGAUCCUCAUCAGUUGAGGGCAUUGACAAGGGAUGAGGGUUUCAUGUUGUUGUGCAACAAAGCAUUCCAUGGUGGAGCAAAUAGCAUCCCACUAGAGCUGGAGAAUCUUGCAAGGGAAAUUGUGGUCAAAUGUGGGGGUCUGCCUCUGGCUGUGGUGGUGGUUGGUGGUUUAUUGUCUAGGAAACUCAAGUCAAGUGGGGAAUGGGGAGGGGUGCUGCAAAACAUCAGCAGGCACUUACCAGAUGAAGAGGAGAGGAUAAGAAGAAUUUUGGCCUUGAGCUCUAGUGAUCUGCCUCCUCCCUUGAAAUCAUGCUUUCUCUGUUUGGCUCUUUUCCCUGUGGGGAUGAACAUUCAUACAAAAAAAUUGAUCAGGCUCUGGGUUGCGGAAGGUCUUUUACCACAAGAAGGUGGAGAAACUGCAGAAGGGGUUGCUCAGAAAUACUUGAACGAGUUGAUUGGCAGGUGCAUGAUUCAAGUAGGAACAGUGACCUCACUGGGAAGAGUUAAAACAAUUCGCAUCCAUGAUCUUCUUCGAGAGCUUUCUGUCUCUAAAGGAAAAGAGGAAUAUUUUCUCAAGAUAUUUCUAGGUGACAUGGCAGGCUCAGGCUCAGGCUCAGGCUCAUCAACAUCUCAGCUAACUAGAUCCCGACGACAUUCCAUACAUUCCUGCCAUGACCGGUAUGACUUCUUAAAACACAUUGCUGAUCAUUCACGUUCCCUGCUGUUCUUUAAUUGCGCAUAUAAUGCAGAUGUAGUGAGCAACAUCUGGCUUCCCUUGACUUUUCUGCUAGAAACGAACUUGGAUUUAAUCUUUUGGUAAUUUAAACUGCUCAGGGUGUUAGAAUUAGAUGGUGUUCGGGUAGUUAGCCUGCCAAGCACAAUAGGGGACCUGAUUCAACUAAGGUAUCUAGGAUUGAGGAAGACUAAUCUAGAAGAAGAACUUCCACCUUCCAUUGGAAACUUGCAAAACCUGCAGACACUUGAUUUGAGGUAUUGUUGUUUUCUUAAGAAAAUACCGAAUGUAAUCUGGAAGAUGGUGAGCUUGAGACAUUUGCUCCUUUAUACUCCAUUUGAUUCUCCAGAUAGUGGGCAUCUACGUUUGGAUACAUUAACCAAUCUACAAAGCCUGCCAUACAUCGAGGCUGGAAACUGGCUUGUAGAUGGUGGUUUUGCAAAUAUGAGCAGUCUUAGAAAGCUAGGGAUAUAUGGAUUAUCAGGAAAUAUGGUGAAUUCUGUUCUUUCUACUGCACAGAGAUUGUGCGACCUUCGUUCACUUUCACUGUCCCUUCAAUCUGAAGAGGAUGAAUUUCCAAUCUUUAUGCAGCUGUCUCAGUGCACUCAUCUUCAGAAGCUCUCUUUGAAUGGGAAGAUCAAGAAGCUACCAGAUCCACGUGACUUCCCACGAAACCUUUUAAAACUAACUCUACACAAUUCCCACCUGCAAAAGGAGUCUAUUGCCAAACUUGAGAGAUUGCCAAAUCUUAAAAUGCUCACUUUGGGUGAAGGGGCAUACAAUUGGCCGGAAUUGAGCUUCAAUGCCGAAGGGUUUUCACAACUGCGUGUUUUGCGGCUUGUUCUUUUGAAAGAACUGGAGGAGUGGACAGUGCAGGAAAAGGCAAUGCGAAGUCUCGAAUACAUGGUUAUUGAUCGCUGUGAGAGGCUUAAAAAGAUUCCAGAAGGACUCAAGGAUAUCACUUCUCUGAAGAAGCUAAAAAUUACAGGAAUGCCGGUAGAUUUUGAACAUAGAAUUCGAACUACAGAUUUGCCUAAGUUCAGAAAUACUCUAGCAAUUGAAUCCACAACAGACAUAUUGGCAAUUGGUAAGCACAUAUAUUCACCAAUCUGAUACAAAAUUGGACAUGAAAAAGAGUGUGUGAACAUACAUUGUUUGUGGAGGCAAAGAAUUUAGGAAACUUACUUUGGUUAUUGCAUAUCUUAUUGCAGAUUAACUGACGGCUUAAUGUUGAUGAGUGACACAAACUUUCAUAUAAGGAAUGGAAGCAUUUUCAAGUUCUUGGCACUCCAUUGUUGACGUAACAUCUUCAGUUAUUGACUUAUUGUUGACACUUGACAUGUACAUAUAAGAUACUGCUUUGGUGAAGUCAAGCACUGAUCAGUCCUUCCAUUUUUUCUAUGCACGAAACAGUAGGUAGUUUUCUCUGAGAUUGAAUUGCUUUGACAUUAAAUAAGGCAUUUUUUGCUUGCAAACAGAUAUCUCCAGUUGCUGGAAAAAAAAGCUCUUCUUAAGUGAACUUGUCUCUUAAUUAUUUUAUUUUGUUUUGCUAAUUUUACACUCAAUAUUAAUAACAAAGAGGAUGAAUAGAGUAAUAAGUAAUAACCAUAAUUUAAGAGACCUUAAUAUUUUUUAUCUCUAAACACUUCAGCCUUAUCUAAUUUUCUUUAAAAAAUUACAAUUUAGAGAAAAAGUUCAUUUAUUUAAUUACAUAAAUUUCAUUUUAACUUUAGGACUAUAACUUAUUAACUUUAUAAAUAUUUUUGUCCGAAUUCUGAACUUGUUUUAAUAUUCAAUAUAAAAACAUGCACAAUGAUAAUUUUAAAACCUUUAUCAUAUGUGAAUAGAUCUUAAAAAACCUGAUCCACCCAAGUCAAGUCAACCCCUCCCUCUGUCACUACGUGUUCUGUGUUUUUUCCUUGCUACUUCCUUCCUAUACGUAUACAAAUCAUUGAUGUCAAUUAUUGCCUCCCCAAUUUCGGUUAAAAGAUCUAUGAAAACUUCGAAGAAUGUUCUUCAAAAUUAAGCGUUUGCAUGUGUUGACAAACAUGGUCCAUUCAUAGUUUUCUCAUCCCUCUUAACAUCUGUCUUGUCUCUUCUGUGGUAACCUUCAAAUUGAGUAAUGGAACCAGGAGUUUCGCGUUUGCAAGCAGCUCAGAAAGCAAUAAACUCAAUUGGGUUGGGUUUUGACAUAACACAAGACAUCAACUUUGAUAGUUGCAAGUGGGAAUCGCGUUUGAUCUUCGUCAAUGAAGAACAGUGUCAUGAUCUUGAGAUUCCUGGAGGAGUAUCAAUUCCAAAUGUACCAAACUCCAUCAAAUGUGUCAGAGGGGAAUCCAUUAGAAUCCAAUCAGACGUUCUCACCUCAGUGCAGGUAUUUCUUCAACAUAUUACCACAGUCAAACACUUUGAUUAACACUUCUGUUUGUGUUUGGUUCCAAACAUGCACCGAGUGUUCUUAGACAAGUGUUAAAUCUUGUUGUCUUUCAGAUGUUGGAGCACUUCAACCAGGAAAUGGGCCUGGGGGGCAAAAUUGCAUCGGGUCAUUUUUGUGCUUCAUUUGGGUUGCCUAUUCGAUAUCUACAAGAUUUGGCCUCCAUGUCUUUUGCUUAUGAUGGCUGGUUCGUCAAAUGCUAUGCCAUUGAAUUAGAAAGGUAUCAUUGGGAACUCCUUGAUCAUGUCAAAGAAGCAGUGCCAUCAUCAUGGGACCCUGAGGCCAUUGCAAGGUCAGGCCCUGGAACUGGCUAUUUUAACACUGACAUAAUGAAAUGCAAUAGAUGUGAUAGAUUUUUCAAUAAUACUUAGACACCUAAAUAGUGUAUACACAUCAUAGGCACUACAUUUUUAUCUACAUCUCUCUCUCUUCUUAUCACAUACUAUCAUAUAUCACAUUCACUAUUUCUUUCUUCUCUUUUCUUUCUUUUCUUACUCAUGGUGUCUAUUAAGUUUCUGCACUAUAUGGAUGACUACAAACCAUUUUCAUUAGAGGGUGGGGGUUCCAAUUGUAGUAAGUAGUGUUAUAGAACGGUCUAUUCGGCCCACCACGCGGCCCAUAUAGCUCACACUUUAUGAAGGUCAAUAAUGUGAUUUGAACAUUCAAACUUCUACAUGAUAAGAGAUACGGACAACCCCUAACAACCUUAAAGAUAUCUCCUAAUAUCUCGGUUAUCACCAGAUAAACAAAGAUAUCACCUACAUAACAAUCGUAACAAGCAUGGUUCUAUCACUACAGUUUGGUCAUCACCAGCUAUACAUAAAACGCCACCCCUCACUAAAAAGGUAAGAACUUAUAUAUCUACGAUGCAAAUUGCAUUGUGAUGCGAUUUCGUUUAGUGAAUAGAUUAAUAAUCUAUAUUUGUAAUUUUACAAUGAUAAAAUAGUGUCUACUUAUUCAUGCAAGGUUUAUAAAACGUUUUGGAACUCAUGUCAUAGUCGGGGUGAGCAUGGGAGGAAAGGAUGUGUUAUACGUCAGACAAGAAGAACAUGCAUCAUAUCUCGACCCAACUAGUAUUAAAAAAUUCAUGACUGAUACAGCUGGGAUGGUGUUCAAGGAUUGUAUCGAUACUGAUUGCCUGGCUUCUGAAGACUUUUGUAACAAGAAAGAGGUAUCCAUGCACACCUUUAUUGACUUACUAUUAUUUUCUUUCUUCAUGUUUCGUUGGAAGUCGAAAAUAAUUAUUAUAAAAGUUUCUAAUUGAAAGGUGUGCUGGAUGAAAUUGAUAUACUGGUUUGAUUCUAAGGCAUGACGUGUUGAAAAUCCUUCCCCUUCCAUUCCUCCACAAAAUAUAUAAAUCUGAAUAUGCAUAUUCUGUUAUGCUCUGUCAAUAUAUGUACUGUAUUUGUGUCUCUGUGUAACAGAAAAGCUUUUAAAAUUCUCUGAUUGCAUUGAUCACCCAUACAUUAUCUCAUUUGAGUUUGCAGAAUCAUUUUGUGAUACAUAGUAGGAGGGGUGGAAGCAGUCAAAAGAUGAAUCAUAGUGAAUGGCUGGACACUAUCGACUCAGAACCUGACGUCAUAUCAGUGCUUCUUCUCCCUCUGGGGCACCUAUUUAAAAAUAUCAAAGGAGGCGGAUUUGUGAACCAUGCUUUAAAUCUCUAUAGCCGUUGUAAGCAAUUAUUUUACUUUAUUUGACAACAAAAAAUAUGUGUGCUUUUGAUUCUACCUGAAUUUAAGAAAAUGAUUUUCUAGCUGUAGCAGAUUAAUUUAAAGAAAAAUGGUGCAAUAAUCUUUCUCUGAAACUGAAUAAUUAGCUGAACCUACAUAUAAACUUGUUACUGCUGAAACAGACAAACCUCCAAUUGAAGCCCUCCAACACUUUUUGGAGUUUCAACUACCAAGACAAUGGGCCCCUGUACUUAGUGAGACAAGUUUAGGUUCUCGUCGGAAGCAUCAAAUGAACAUCUGGUUACGAUUUAGUAUCUUGGGUCCUAAGCUUUACAUAAACACAAUUCCAGUGAGUUUUCCAUCUUGCAUUUUUACUGUGCAUUUUGUAGUAAACUGUGUCAGCCUAUGAAGAUGGUGAAGAGAUGUACCUUACUUCCCCUUUUCUUUCUUUUUGUCAUAAAUAUAGUUUCUCUGCAUACCUGAAGUAUCUUUAUGUCAUUGCACCUUAACAUCAGUUUUACAUUUUACCCUCCAUAUUUUUUUGAAACACAUUUUAUCUCCAUAUUGAUAUAGUAGAAAUAGAAAUACUAACAUGCUACUUACAAGCAACAAUGGUAACUGUCUUAAGGAGAACCUCAGCUUUUGUACUUCAUAAAAGAAUUAAUUUUAUGGGUGGUCCAAUAAAUAGAUCUAAAGAUAUACUCUGAUAGCAUCUUAGAAUUUAUGUUAGGUCUAACUCUACCGCAAAAGCUAGCUUAGGAUGAUGAUUGUUCUACUUUUAGCCAUAUCUCUGUCAAUAUAAAAGCUUAACACUCCCUCACGGCCAGUGUUGGACAUGGACAUCUGGAGUGUGAAAUUCGCACAAGGCAUCGGCUGGUGACCCAUAUAUGAGUAGUAUCCAAUAAACAGAUCUAGAAUAUAUUUGGCUCUGACACCAUCUUAGGUUCGGGUUAGGUCUAACUCAAUACCAAAAAUUAGCUUAGGGGUGAUGAUUGCUCUACCUUUUAUUUGCUCUUAUUUGGUCAUGUCUCUCUGGUCAAUGUGGUGGACCUCUCACCAAUAAGCAUUUGAUACUUUUCUUGAUGGCAGGUGGAUGUAGGUAACAGACCAGUAACUGGUUUGAGAUUACUAUUAGAAGGAACAAGAAGUAACCGGUUGGCCAUUUGCCUGCAGCAUCUGGCUUCUCGACCCAUGUCCUUACCAUUGUCUGACAAUGCAAAUGCUUAUUUGUCUUGUGACUCACAUAGCUGCACCUCGCAUAAGAAAGUUAAAUGGAAUUGCUUUUCACAUGUUUGUACUGCUCCUGUUGAGUCAGAUGAUAGUGUUUCCAUCGUGACAGGAGCUCAGUUACAAGUUGAAAACAAUUGUCUCCUUUUAAGGCUGCGCUUCUCCAAAGUUAUUGGUGGCACCCUUCAGAGGCUACCUGAGUGGGAUCAAUCCUCUAAUCUUGGCCAGUUGAGAAACAUCAUAUUUGCAUCUAGUGUUCACGAAAAAGAAAAGAAGUAUACUCCAAAGGGCGGUGAAGUUACCAUUGGCUCUGCUGCAUAUCCUACUGGCCCCCCUUCACGGGUGCAGACACCUUCUCUUCUAAGGUUUGUGGACACAGCAGAAAUUAUCAGAGGACCAGAACAUACUCCAGGAUAUUGGGUUGUGUCAGGAGCAAGGUUUUCUGUCCAGAAUGGGAAGAUAUAUCUAUCUGUCAAGUAUUCACUAUUGAACUUUGUUGUGCAAUGUGAAACUGCAGUGCUUUAAUGCUCAGUUUAAACUUUAAACCUCCUUUUGAACCUCUACCUAUUAAGAAUAAUUUUUACAAUGUAUCAAGUGUGUUUGGAUCUAAUUAUCAUCCAUACAUUGUAUAAUUGUCUUGUUGAAUAAGUAUCAGGUACUUUGUGUUAUGAUUUUUUGAAACUUGGGAUGUUGAUCCGGUUCAAAUUCCUCACUCACAUGACCUCGACUAAGUCAAUGAAUGAACUGAAUUCAAUAAUAUUUUGGAGGGAUGAAAAGUAAGUGUCUUGUAAAAUAGGUACCAACUUGUGAUUUUUUGAAAUUUUGGAUGUGGAUCCGGUUCAAGUUACUCACUCACUUGAUCUCAACUAAGUCAAUGAAUGAACUGAAUUUAAUAAUAUUUUGGAGGGAUGAAAAGUAAGUCACAAGUAGGAUUAUUGUAAAUAUUUGGAUGACAUUUGCUUACAACUACAUUUAUUAUUAUUAAUUCAAAAGUACAAUAUUUAUAGAUUAGACUUUUAGAGGUUUUUCUAAUCAACUUCAAAGAUAAAAAGCACUAAUGUUGUGUUUGGUUGGACUGAUUUUAAGAGGAUAGAGAAAGAUAACAUGGAUUUUAAGUGAAAACCCCAUGUUUUUCUUCUGUUUGAAUUGCAAAGGAAAGUGAAGAAGAUUGAACAAAUUUCUUGUGAGACCCAUGUAUAAGUUUUAUUGGCAAAUUUGAUGUGAAAAUGCCAUUAUGCAAACGAUUACGUUAACUUAGAAUUUUAUCCACAUCAUUUAUUCAAUAUCACAUAAUUCCGUAUUUGUGUCAAGAGUUGUUCUUGUAGCUCUUUUUCUGCUUUUUUUAGCUUUUCAUUUAUUACGAAAGUAUAAAUUAUAUAACUAUUUUGUUAAACUUAAGAAAUAAACUAAAAUAUAGUUAUUAUACUUUUAACAAAUUUUUACUCAGUUUCAAAAGUUAUAUUUGCUCACCGAUUUCGUUGUCACUUAGCCCCUUCUCCUAACUGUGGUCGAUGCUCCAGUGACCUAGAAGAUAGUCUCCAUGCUCUUCGAGAUUGUCCUCACGCGAAAGAAGUCUAGUUGUACUUUGAUGCACAAAGAUGGCCAAGUUUUUUCUCCUCGACAAUGCAAGGUUGGAUUCAAACACAAAUCAGGAGUUCCGGUUGGUGACGUCGUCUAUGCGGAGCUGCAAACGUUGGCGAUGGGCCUGCGAUUUCUUUGGCGCAAGAAUUGGAAUAAGAUUAUUUGUGGGAUGGAUUGCCUUGAAGUGUUCGUGCUAUUGAACAGAGAGGAGUCGAUUUCCAUUGCUAUGGUAGCUUACUGAUGGAUAUUUAUCUCCUUUUAUCUAGAAACUGGGAGAUCAAGAUUGGCUAUGUUCCAAUGCUCCGGCGGAUUACCUUGUUGGAAUGGGAGCGAGGUUGCAAUGCCCCAUUGUUGAUUUAGUUUCUCCUCCUGUCGAAGUUUUACCUCUUCUUUAGAAGGAUUUAGCUGCCUUGUAGUGUCGCUUUUAAUUUUCCUAUGUACCAAAAAAAAAAAUUAUAUUAUAUUUAGUAGUUUAAAUAUGUCUAAGUUUUAUUACAAAACAUUUAAAAAAUAAGAGUUAUAAUAAAAUAUAUUAAUUUAAAAUAGUAAUAAUGAGAUAUGAAUUAGUUGUAAUAAUUUAUGUGAAUAAAUAGUUAAAUAGUAACUAACUAUGACACCCAACCCAAUAUUCCCAGGAUCUCUCGCUCUCCAGGUUAGUACAUCCAAUCUCUCUCGAUGUUAGGGUUUAUGCUUCAUCUUGAAUUGCACAUAUUAUUUAGAUUUCGAUCCCAUUUGGGGAUCGAUCGUGGAUUUCAAGAUCCAAAUCUGUGUUUCAAUUUCAAACGAUCUUGCUGAAACUGAUUUCGUUAAGGUUGAAGAAGAGUCAUGUGUAUAUGUUGAUGACACCUUCAGUUACUUGUGAUGCAGUAUAAACAAUGGAACCUGAGUUGGAUCCCGAGCAGGUGGAGAUGAUGGAAGGAGGCUUUUCACGAACUAUGCAGAUUGAUCCUAGACGGGCUCGGUUUCCGUGCUCCGUUGUGUGGUCGUGGUUCAUUCCUUUCAUUGGUCACAUUGUCAUUUGCAGAGGGGAUGGUGUCAUAUUGGACUUUGCGGGGCCUAAUUUUGUCUUUGUUGACAUUUUUGCUUUGGGAGCCGCCACUCGCUAUUUGCAAAUUACCAAAGAAAAGGUAUAUAUAAGAAUUGAUUUUCACCAGAUUAAGUGCAUGUUUGGAUGGACGGUAGAUUUUCACGUUUAGAGAAGAUUUGAGUUUAGAGAAGCUAUUAGAAAUUGGAAGGCCUAUACUCAACCACAAAAGCUAGCUCAAGAGUUGAGGUUUGCACAACCCUUAUAAACACUUGAUUGGCCUUAUCUCUAGCCAAUGUGGGACUUCUAACAGAAGCUACUUCUAGUAGCUUUUGGGGAGUAGAUAUAUGGUGCUAUUUGUUCUCUCCAAGACUCUAGGGUUAAUGACCAACAAACAACAUAGCUCGCAGUACUAGUAGUGUUAGAGUGAAGACACCUUUACAAUGAGAGAUAAAAGGGAUGAAUCAUCUUCACUCUAACACUAAUACUGUGAGCUAUGUUGUGUGCUAGUUACUGAGUCUAAUCCCGGAGUCUUGGAGAAAACACCAUUGUUUAUCAUUGGAACAAAUCAAGAGACAGAAAGCAAGAUUAUGCCAUUAGACUCUUGCCUCUUUGUGAAACAACAUCAAAUUGUAACUUCGUGCUUUGAUUUUUGCAACAUGCUGUGAUUUUCACUAGCUGGAACCUUGUGAAAGCUAUGAAUGAAGAAGACCUUUAUUUCAAACUUCUUAUUUUUGUGCUACUUGUUAACCAAUUGGCUUUCUGCUCCUCAGUUGUUAUUAUUUCUCUAAUGAUGUUUGAAAUAACUGCCGACAGUGUUGCAUCCCUCUAGGCCAGUCUACAUGCAAAGAUGAGGCACUCUGCACCUACAUGCCGGAUGAAACUGGAGGAGAAUUGAAGACCUGGGAUGAUGCGUUACGGAAGAGCACUCAAGAAUUCCAACACCGGUCUUAUAAUCUCUUUACGUGCAACUGCCACUCAUUUGUUGCCAACAAUUUAAACAGGAUGGGAUUCCUGUCUCGCGGAUGGAAUGUGGUGAACCUAGCCAUUUUCAUUUUAUUCAAUGGACGUUGGGUCAGCACAGCAUCUAUGCUACGAACUGUCUUGCCAUUUGUGGUUGUAUUUUUUCUUGGAGUCACAUUGGGGGGCUUCACAUUCCUGAAAUUUUGGGCCUUGUUCGCUUCGGUUCUUAUUGGUUGGUUCCUUCUUGGCACUUACUGUUUCAAAGGCCUGAUUCAGUUGUAGUAUCUAUUUCUCUUACUGGUAUUCCUUCUACUUUGUAUAAAACUGUAAUACAUUUCAAGUUAGUGAAACAUAACCAUAUACCGUAUGGGCUAUGGCUUUGAUUGCCCACUUGCCCCUUCACAUUAUGUGUUUUAUGUUUGGAAAUAGGAAGGGAGCUGCUAUUUCACUGAGUACUGAAUUGAAUUUGAUGUAUUUUAUUGUUUUGAGUUAUUGUGAGCAAGAAAAAGCAAAGUCCAGAGGAUUUGCGAUGUACAAAGAACAAAUGCUUUGCCGCCAAUUAACAGCAUUGACACAAAGAACAAAUGUACAAAAGCCUAAGGAUUCCUGUGAAAGAAUCAGCCAAUUAACCGUAUUAAGAAGUAAGAACAAUGAUUCAAAAUGACCUCACGAAUCUAAGACUCACUGUUGUAAUUGGGUUCUUCUACCUUUAUUUCUCUGAGAGUUAGGAGAGUUGAAGAAUCUCUCAAAUUGUUCUCUGGGUAUCAUCUUCUUGUUCUAUUCUAGAAUAGGGAGAUCUACUCUAUUGUCUGAAUAAAAUCACCAUUAUUUUCCUAUUUUCUGUACUAGUAUAACAUUAUAUCAUAUUAUAUUUUAUAUUUAACAUUUUUCUCUUUUUUCAUAAUAAGAUUGUCUACGCCUAUAAUGGGUGCCUAUGAAUAAUUUUUCAAAAAUAUUAUGGGAAAUUACGUAUAGCACCACUUUUAACAAAAUCAUAUGUGCUAAACACAUUUAUAUUUUAUAUUUAUACAUGUGCCUGCAUCAUCCCUUCUCGCCACCACCCAACACCCACAUUUACCGCCACAAAACAUCACCAUCCGUUGUUGUUGCCACUUAUCACUAUCAAUGUUGUCACUAAUGUCAAAGUCACUCUCUCAAGACCUUCCAUACCAAAGGAUGAAGAGUGUUGGGCGGCAGUGCCACAAAUGGGGGUGAUGGUGGUGGUGACAAUUGUAGAGAGUACCUUAAAAGCUGAAAGAAGUCGUUGUCUACGUCUAAAAGCUCAAUGUACCUUGAUUUGCUUUGAAUUUUUUCUAUGAACAAAAAGAUGUAUGUUUCAUUCAACCUUAAAAAUAUGAUAAAUACUGAACAUAACUCAUAUUUCUUGUUCCAUUUCAUUCUUAUCUUUCUACCCAUUACUAUUACCUAGGUAUUUAAAAUAAUUUGUUAUUUAAAAUUUGUGAAUAAACCCUAAUAUAUGGAAAUGGAAUAUUCUCCGCUUGGGAUUCUUGUUGAUGGCAAAUUGGUAAAAAGGUGAGAAAACAAGCCUUUUCCCGAAGGUGCGUACUCGUCUUGCCUAUUUAAAGGAGUGACAGUGUCUGAGCAGAAGCAUACGGCUAGCGUGAAAAUCACACAUUCCCUUCUCUUUGAUUUUGAAAUUCGGAAUUCGGAAAUGGCAGGAUCAUCAUCAGAAGAGGGACAAGUCUUCAGCGUCCACAGCGUUGAUGCAUGGACUGACCACCUCAACAAGGGGAAUGAAUCCAAGAAACUGGUACCAAUUUUUUUUCUUCUUCUCUUUUCUCUUCAAAAAUGGAUCUCAAUUUAUGGUUUGCAUGUGUGUGUUUGAACAUGAUAUGAUCAUAGAUAAUGGCUAUCCCUUUGUGUUUUGGUUUGUUAUUGUUUCACAUGAUUAAUGCAUUUCGGUGGCUUGAUUGUCAUUCAUUCUCAUGUGGCCAUCGCUCUGAAAAUUGAUUCUGAGAUUCUGGUUUCGUAAAAACGUUGUCGUUCUUAGGGUUUAGAGGGUGUGUAUGAGUGUAUUGGUGUUGGGUCUUGAGGCGGUGGAAUUGGGGUAGGUUGAGUUUGGUUUUUGGAUCUUGUUCUCCUACAUGGAAUUGGUGACUGACGGAGGGGCAUUCGGUUGGUGCCUUGGCAUUUGCCGUGAUCUUGACCUCCCAAAAAUUAGGUGGAUAUAUUGUUCCCUCAUCUCAGCUGAUUAGCUGGACUAGGCAUAAAUCAAAAGAACAUGUUUAUGGUAAUAGUGACGCCAGGACCUAGAAAUGGAAUGAUUUCAUACUGCUUAGAUGAUGAAAUAAUUGCUAGACACUAAGAAGAGAGUGGGGAAUGCCCAUUAUUGACCAAUAUAAGAAGAGGAAACAAAAAGCUUAUUUGAAGAGUAUAAACUAAGAGUCAAGAAGCUCAUAAUUCAUAAAUAAUGUUUGUCUUUGAUCAAUGACGAGCUUUAAUGAGAAGAGGGUGUGAUCAACAAUCAAUGAAGUUGUUAAGGGCCUAAGGCACGUGCACAUAUCUGUCGCUUGUAUUAUACAUAUCUAAUAUCCUUCAAUACCGAGCUUUUUUAUUUCAGUGUCAUUUGAUGAUAGAUAAUGAGUGACUUAAAACAUAAUGAUAAGUAAUGCAUGGGGGAGCUGUAGACCUGGUGCACAAACAGCAAAGUGCACUCUAGGCCAGCAAUACCUGCCUACUAGUGAGGGUAGUUGUUGUGUGCUGUAUUUCAUAAUGAAUUUGAUAACUUUGUUAUGUCCUGAAUGUUUGCCAGGGAAGGUAUAGUGAUUCUAAGUACAGAACUACAUGUUGAGUGUAUGCUCUUCUCUGUCUAUACUUGCACCUCUGCUCAUAAGACCUUUCAACUAUUUACUUAUUUGUUUACAUUUUUAUGUUUUUUCAUUUCUUAAUUUUGUUCAAGCUGCAAAUAUAAUGUUGAGGAAUUCAUCAAAUUAUGCUUAGAUCUCGAAUUUUCUAACUACAUUAAUAUAUAGUAUCAUGGAAAUAAUGGUAACUAAAACUAAAUGUUCCAAUUUUGUUUUCAGUGCAUUCAUACUUGGAUGAUCUUUAAUAUUCCAACAGCUCUGUUUGGUAAUCACAGAGAUGUGAUUUGAUAUUUGUCUGCAACAAUCUGAAUAGCUCUUAUUAAACUUAUGAAGUCUGGAACUGGUAAUAUAAUUACUCAAUGCUUAUCAAAGCGAUACUUGCAGUAUAAUACCCAUUGGUUUUGACUUAAUUACGUAUUUAAUCUGCUUGAAGAAAUAUAUAUAGCAUUGGUAGUUGCUCUUCCAUAUCCCUCCUGCAAUCCUUUUCAUUGGCAUUAGAAAUUUGAGAUAUGUUUACCUUUGUAAUUGUGCCAGAUUGUUGUGGAUUUUACUGCUUCUUGGUGUGGACCAUGCCGUUUCAUUGCGCCAUACCUGGGUUAGCUGGCUAAGAAGUAUUCAAAUGUCAUAUUUCUGAAGGUGGAUGUUUAUGAAUUGAUGGUAAACAAAUUUCUAAUUUGCUUAAACUACUUGUCAAGUAAAAGUUAUUUCGAGACUAAUCAAAUAAUUUGUUGGUUGCAGUCUGUUGCUCAAGAUUGGGCUGUGGAGGCUAUGCCCACUUUUAUGUUUGUGAAAGAGGGAUCGAUUGUGGACAAAGUGGUGGGAGCAAAGAAGGAAGAGCUGCAGCAGAAAAUAGAGAAACAUGUGGCUACAGCUAGUGCUUAAUCUUGUUGUUAGUACUUUUUAGCUCCAGAGACGCAGUGUGUGCUGUCAUCUUUAGUUUUAUAAUAUGUAGUGGUGGACAUAUUUUUAUGUAUUCCUGUUAUUGCACUGCACAUUUGCACCAUGCAACUCUUAAGUAGGCGAUGACUAAUAAUCUCUCUGGCUUUCUUCUGUCUUAAACAAUAGUGGAUUAUAUUAUAUCAUGCAUGCGUAAUUGCAUUUACUUACCUGUUUCCUAACUAUUACGCAGGAAUUGCAAACUAAAUUUUAGAUAAAUUUGAUUUUGUAGAAAUGACGUAAAAUUUUGUUGUUUCUCUCUCUUCAUGUGUUAAAUAAUUGAUUGUCAAAUAUGUUAAUAUAUCUAAGUAGAAAUAAAUAGUUCUCGCCAUCUAUGUAUUUUUGGCUUCUUAAAAUGCUUGGGACUUUUUGGAUUGUAAGUACAGUUCGAUACCAAGUUAAAUACCAAGUCAAUGCUGCACAUGUUAAAUAUGCCCGUGUUUGUAGCAACGGUUACCAAUGUCCCUUUGUCGAAUUCGACUGCGCUCAGCGACGCGUCCGAGGGCGGCGGAAUGACGCGGGGAGAACACCGCGCAAUGACGACGGCCGGAGUGAACGGAGGUUCGCCGGAGUUCAAAGAGGAAAAAGCAAGAAUUCCGGAAGGGCCAAAACAAGUAAAGCAUAAAUUGACACAUGAAUAUUGAGUGAACCAGUGAGUGGUGACGUUAAAGUAACAUCUCCGGGAGGAAGGGCAGUAACUGAGAUUCGUGGAAUAUAUUACUUCAUCUAUAGCAUGGUCAUUAAUAAACUAAAAGAGAAGAAUGAACUUUAAAUAAACUACAUCACAUAAUGGUUGCAAUAGGAUCCGUUCCCAACUUGAACCUGACUUGGAGUUUAAUUUACUCCAGUAAGUAAGACAAAGACAAACGAAAAGACAUUACAACAAGGAAAUUUCCUAUCUUCCCAAUGCCCACAUCCAGUUGAAAAAAACAUGGAAGGGCUGGGAACUAUGACUCCAAAUGCACACACACAAGGAUCCAUAUUUUAGACCCUUGGUUUCAGAUUCGCCUAUCCAAUAUUGACUCAUUUAUGCAAGCUAGUUAACACAACACCGCUAUGUAAAAUUAAAAACAACGUGCCUUUGGCACUAACAUAAGAACAGAGCUACUUUCUACCUGAAAAAACUAUUCUUCUAUUCCUUUACUUGUGAAGUCACUGAAGACUAGACGCAAAAAGCUGCUUCAGCAACCAAUCAGCCCCUCUAAUUGGCAGCAGUUGGAGCGCAAACAGCUUCAACUGAUAACCGCUUCAACACAUUCGGACAUGGAUCGUGGCCAAAGUUACUGUUUGUUACAGUUACUAUGCAUCUUCGCUUUCCUAUACACUUCUGUGAAAAUCAAAAGACAAAAAACAUAAGCUAUUUCAUAAAGUAGAUGUGUUGGACUGUGAAAUGAAGAGUAUGGUAGAUUACCUUCUCUAAGAUGGCAUAGGACGCGGGAGAAUGACAUGUUCCCUGCUCAUAAUUCCCACAGGUUCCAAGAGGAGUUCCAAAGCUUGCAAAUUUAAUGGAAGAGAUGGCCUGGCCAGGACUACAAUGCAAGUGAACCUUUGGAGGGUGGAACUCUUCUGACUUGCCAUAGCUAUCAAUGUGCCAAUUCUUAAAAUUAGGGUGGUAUUCUGACACAUCAGCACAAACACUGCUCACUGAUCUCUUUACAAGUGAAAUUCUUGAAGGGUCUCCCCCGAGUUCCUCGAAAACAACUAAAAGGUUAUGAUUUGGCUUCAACCAAGAUCGAGGUACAUGGUACCUGAAAUAUUUAGUGCCAAACAGAAGGUAUUAAAAAGCCUGAGUGAUCCAUACAUCACCUACAAUGUCAACAAAUUACAGUACUUACCAUCGUUGGGUUGGUUGGCCACAACCAAGUUGGCAGUUUGGAGGUCUAAAUGAGCCGGCAUAGCUGCAGCCAUUGCAAUUACCAGUAGCUGUAGUUGUCCAGUAUCUUCCAAUACUCUCCCCAUUAAUCCAUAUUUGACCUUUACCCAUACCCUCCAUGUCCAAUGCCAAAGGCUCGUCUCCUUCAGGAGCAUUGAAAUAGGUCUGCAGAGUUCACCAGUCAAUUUUAAGAUGUAUGAGAACUAAUUAUUGGUUUCUGUCAACCUUAUGUGCUGCGCAUUUCUGUGUAUUUUUACCUUGUGCCAUGUCAGUGGCUGAUUUUUUUGUAAAACUAAUGCUGACUGCAUCCACUCUACAGAAGAGAUACCAUUUGGAGAUGCAAGAUUCAUGGCCUCUCCUUUCAGACCCACCUAUUUUAAGAAGAGGUACGCCUUAAACAAAAAUUUCUUUGCAACGGAGUCAACUUAAGGCUUAAGUAGCUAAAGUAAGACUAAGCAACCUGAUAAGUCCAUUUCUGCCAAGACAAGUCCAACUUUCCCUUGUCAAGUCCAUGGAGUGCAAUUGGACCUAGGAUUCCUGUGUUCCAAGUCUCAAAAUGUCCACCGAUGUUCUUUGAAAACACAACAGGAAAGAAAUUAUUAGUCACUAAAAGAAAAGAAAAAAUGCCAUUAAAUGUGGCAGAGACAAGAAUGAUAAAGUGGAUGAGUGGACAUGAUGAAAACUCAUUCAAUUUAAAAUAAUUAAAGAAGAUGUUAAGAAAACUUGAACAGAAAUCAUAAAAUACAACAGCCUUGCUCUAGAUGAUUUUACUGAAAUUUGGCUUUUAAUAGAGCCUGGUUGUGAAGUCUCACGUUGACUAGAGAUAUGGAUAAAUAAGUCCUUAUAUUAGGUUUAUAUUAGGUGUAGAACAAUCCUUACCCUUAAGCUAACUUUUAGGUAGGAUUAGGCCUAAUCCGAAUUCUAAGAGCCUAAGUCUAUAUCUAUUAAUACAUGUAGCUGACCCGUCUAAGUGGUACAAGACUUGGUCGUUGUAAUUUUUCCCUAAAAUAGUUGGAUUUUCCAUCUCCAGGCGACCCAGUAAUCCAAUAAUCAUUACUCACAAAAACUCAACAUUCAUGGCUAGAGGAUUACAAAAAUAAAGGUGGGAAACAAUACUUACUGGGAGCCCAACAGCCACACUGAGCAGAGCUAUUGUGUUUGUUCCUGCACGAAGGUUUACUGGGCCAGUAUACCUGAAUCUCCUAUCCUCCCUUGUUCCAUAGCCGGAACCUGUUUUAAUCAUACAUAUAAAGUUUUCUUUUGCUUACCAGAUGGAGAGGAGAUCUACUAAAGAAGCAAGCAAACUACAUACCAGAAAGUUGACCAUUGAUAAAAAUAUGCACAGCAUGGCCAGUGGACUGAACAAUGAGGGUGGGGAGUUCGCCUCCACGUAGAAAGGAUUCGGAUGAACCUAUAUCAACACUGUAGACAAAUUGAUAUGAAAUAAAUUAGUACAACCAAAAUGGUUUUUAAUCUUUUCAUUUAGAUGUAACCUCAUAGAUUCCGUCAAAAUGUCAAAGUCAUGAUAUUUAUGCUGCCCCCCAAGAAGACUGAUAUAAGACAUGUACAUCAUAGAUCACUUUCGUACUUAAUUUAGCAUCUAGAAACAUCAUUUAUUUCAUGAUUCAUGCAAGUGAUCUGUUGUGUCAUUGUGUGUUUGAAAAAUAAUAGAGACAUGCAAAGCAUGAGGAGUAAAUACUGGUGGAGUGGUGGUCACUGUGACGUGGAGUGCAAAUAAAGAAAGACUGUUUUUCUUUCUUGAACUAGUUAGGUCUCUAAAGCUGUAAAUAAUUUUCAACAAUAAGAGAUCAACAAAAUCACUUGAGCAGCAAAUCUAAGCAACUUAGAAAAUUAAUCUUACCUAGUGAUAUACCAAAGGUAAUCACUUGUAUCCCGUGUCACAUUAAUCUGUUCCAAUAGACCAGUUGCAGUGAUGGCAACUGCAGAACUGUCUUCCAGAGAGGAAAUAUCUUCAUUAAAACUUUCCCAGGAGAACAUCUGAGUAUUUGUUGGCAACAUUUCCAUCUGAGAUGUUUGCACUCCAACCUAAUAGAGAAAGAACAUGAAUUCAGUGAUUUUACAAAAAUGUUAAUUUGUUAAAUCUCAUUGAAUGGCGAUGUUGAGGGUGAAUAAAUUGUGUCCUAGGAAGGGAGCAUAAUUGUGAUCCUUCAGAAUCAAUAGAAAAUGAUGAUUUCAAAUUUCAGAAUUUUGUAACAUACUUUUGCUGUGUUAAAAACAACAUUUCUACAAUCAGGGAGGAUGCUGAUGGACCAAGGAGGUAAGUUAUAGUGCAUGUUAUUGAACAUCACUCUAACAGCAGAUUUUGAGUCAGAGUUUGAGAGGAAAGCAGCACAAUCUCCAGAUUUUGUAGAGUAUACAUAAGCCUGGUAUAAGAUUGACACUCAAUAGGAUCAGUAAAGAAACUUUAGCAAAGUGAAAACCAAAAACAUGUGGGAGUAAGUUAAACCUGUUGGAAGUUCCCUAAUGAAGUAACAACUGGAUCAGUUGAAACUAAGGCCCGUUCACACAUCUUGAUAGCCUUAUGAAGCUCCUUUAGAUGACCAUACUUUGGUUGCCUAAUCAAUCCUGCCAUGAUUUUUUUUAAACAAAAGCAAUCAGUUAAGUCCUUACUCCUUUAGUAAUGUAGUCUGGAUACUGUUGUGACAGCCAAAGCUAUAAGUGUAACUGUGUAAGCAUUGAAAAAUAGUGUGAUACUUUCAGUCUAGUGAAGUGUGGUGAUGUUUGGACUUAAAUUGUUAAAAUAGAAUGUUCAGUUCUCACCAUAUUCAUCCAGGGGAGCAUCAUAGUCAUAGCUGGUAGUGAUAAAAGGGCCUCCGGCUGUACGGCCAAAAUUGGUUCCUCCAUGAUACUACAUGUGGAAGGAAAGUUACUAGAAUAAGUGUCAUCAUCAUCAAAUUUUCAAUUGUUAAGUUGCUUUAAGAAAACCAACCAUGUAGUAGUUUACAAAGGACCCCCCUUUUUGUAUGAAUAGGCCAACUGCAAAUGCCAAAUCCUGAACAGGUCUUUUAUAAAUUGGACCUCCAAAUUCUGAAAACCUUCAUAUUUGACAGAAAAGUUAAGCUCCAUUCAUUUCUUCAAUUUCAAAUUUUGAGGAGAAUAACAAUAAAAAUGAUUACCAGCCGCUCCAAGCCUCUGUCCAAAUUCUAGGCUUGUAGGCCCUAUUGGGAGUAAAUUUAUCACAAUAAAAACCAUUGCAUGUGUUUAUCUGUCACAAAACAGGAAACACAAACAGAUUAAUUUAUCAACCACAUUGCUGAAUCUGCAAGGAUAAAAAAUAGGCUACAUUACAACUGGUUGAGGGCUCCAAAUUCUUAAACAUUAAUCUCUUAAUUUUUUUAAAGAUAACAAAGAAAAAACAACAGUAAUAAGUGAUAAUAGAUCAACCAAUGGAAAAACCUAGCAUAUGUUAAUGCUGAGGAUAGCAUGUGAUGUUAGACAACUUUAAAGAGGUAGAGGGAGAAUGCUCACCACUGGAUCUGGUGCAUCAUCUUCCUUGCACAUUACCCUUGGAAUUCCAGUCCCCUUUUCCACAGCCAUUUUUGCAGCCCAGUUCUCAUAAUUUUUGCCAACAGCUCCAAGUAACUGACUUUGUUUCCCAUACUCAUUCUCAAUCUGAAACAACAUAUUGUGCAUGUCUCAUGAUUAUUAUAUUUAUAUACUAAGCUAGAUCUAGAAUGAAAAGUUCACAACUACUUGUGCCUCUCCUCAAAAUUUUAGAUUACUUUGCUACUUUCAGAUACACAGAAAACAAGUUAUAAUUAACAAUGAAGGUUGCACCUGAGAGAGUAUGAUAGGGCCACCCUGGGAUUCAUAGAGAUGUUCACUCUUCCUCAUUCCCACAAUCUUCUCAGUGAACCCUUGCAUGGCCCUCUGCAACACUUAGUUCAUCAGUGAAACUAGUUAAAUUGAAAGAAACAGAAGAAACUUGGUAAUUUACUUUUAAUCUAACAAAAAAUUGGAGAAAAGAAAAAUAAAAUGUAGACCUUGAAAGGUUCAUUGUCUGUUCUAAAGCUGAUGCCUGGAACAUACUUCAGCCAAACAGGAAAUCCUCUGCACAUUAUAAAACAAAAUCAUUGGAAAAUUGAACAUAAACCCAAAAGACCAAAACCUCCAUUUAUAGAAAUAAAACAUCUAAUUUAAGGAAAAUGAGUGAAGAAAAUAUUUAAAAAAAAAAAAAGAAUGUUAGAAAUGGGAAGGUACCCAAAAUUCCAUUCAGCACAGACAUAAGGUCCAAUGCGAAGAUGAGCAUACAGUCCUGCUUUCUGUAUUGUCUUCACAAAUCUCACCAGGUCAUAUCUUCCUUCAAAAUUGUACUACAUUGAAUUGCAUGCACAACACAGAGAGAUUAACAACAACAACAACAACAACAACAAAAAACAAAAUUGAGCUGAACAAAAUCAAGGGUUUGAGAGAAAAUUGAAGUACAUUGCCCUGUGAAGGCUCAUGAACAUUCCAAAAGACAUAGGUUUCAAUCACAUCCAAACCUCCAUCUUUAGCCUUUUGAAUCAGAUCUUCCCACAUCUAAGAAGACACCAUUUCACAGAAAAAUCAGAAAACUGGGAAUGAAGCUAGCAGGUAAAAAGUUUGUAUUUUUGUGAAAAAGCAAGAAACUUACAUCAGGGGUACUUCUGGGGUAGUGUAUGGAACCGGAGAUAAGGAUUCUCCUUUGGCCAUUGAUGAGGAGAGCUUUACUGUCGUAGGUGACAGCUGAGUGAACCACCAAGAUGCUGCUGAACAAUGCAAAGCAGAGAAAUGGCAACAGAAACUUGGAAACUGAGGUAGUUUCCAUGUUUUGCUAAGCAAAUUGUCUCUCUUCUUCCUCUCUCAAUGGAGGCAAUGAAGAAUGGAGAGAAAGAGAGAGAGAGAGAAGAGAGAGAAAAAGUAGCAGGGCUUUGAGCUCAGAGAGUGAGUUUGGUAUCCUAUGAGAAUGGUGAGGGUGAAAUAGUGACAGGUAAGCUGGUCCUUUUCCUGUUGGGGUCACCACUACACUCUUCUUUUUCUCUUUUGUUUCCAAUGUAAUAAACUUUGUGGAGUGGACCAAUUUAUAAGAACAAGUGUCUUUUGUUUUCACACUACAGCCACAGGUGUCACUGCAUGAUGCCCGUGACCUAACAACCCAGCCACCAAAGUUAGUUACAUUUCUUAUGGAUUACUUAGUUGCGCCUUGGUUCACAUGUAUAUCUGCAUCCGAUAGUUAUAAGACUAAUGAUACUAAAAUUAAAUUAAGUGGAUAAUCUUUUCUUAAUAAAUUCUUCUUCAGAUUUUUUCAGAAUACCAUUAGUUUACUUUUUUAAUUAUGUAAUGGAUUUGGUUAUGAAUUUGAUGGUAAUCCAAUCAGUUUGCCAAUUUUAACCAUUUUUGAAUAGUUCUUAUAAUAGGAGGAGCAAAAAUAGAAAUUAAUGAAGAGAUGUUAAUGAGUUUUUGCUGUUGUUGUUGUUGUCAAGUUUCGAUUUAAUGAGCUAGUGAAUGAGUGAUUGAAAGUGAUAUUUAAUUAGUAUUUAUGAGCAACAAUGGUCCAUGGCAUGGGCAUGGCCCAGGCAACUAGUGAUAAUGGUUUCAUCAUGUGAACAAGAAAGAGAGAGACAAGAAUUUUGUGGCUUUAACUAGCUGUGUCCAUGUGAAUCAACGGUAAGCCGCCAAGACCUUUCUUCCUGAACGGCCAUUUCUUAUUGUCACAAAUUUCUCAAUGCUGAUAAUUUUCUUAUGAAAUAUUUGACAAAACAAAAUAUAAAAUGGAAAGAAUAGAAAAGGAUAUCACUUUCUAACUAAAACACAAUCAAAAGAAUUCCCCCCGGAGAAAGCUUGUUAUUCUAUUGUUUGAAGGCUUGGAUGAAUGAAUAUCUUGAUUGAAGAUAAAGAAUUAAAGUUCAACCUUUAUUUCAGUAAAAUAAAAUGGCACAAAAAGGGAAGCAAAAAGUAUAGUAUAGUCCACUUGUGCGCAAUUAGCACCUCUUUUUACGUGACAACAAUCCAUUAUUAAGACCUCAGAAAACAAAUAUACUACUCACUUUGCAUGUGGUAAUUAAUUUAGCACUGAGUUGUGGUCAGCACGAUAUUAAGCAUGAGUAGUAAUCUAGGAGACUCACAUAUACUGUAUUGACACUCAUGAUACUGACCUGGGAGAUGAAACCCUCACAUGGCCAUGUUUGGUUGUAUCAUGGCAGCGGCCAGUAAUUCCGUUUCAUAUAUACAAUCAUUUACAUCGUUCUAAAUUCUAACUAAGUAAGACCGUUGUUUGGUUCUAAAUACUAUUUCUUCAAUUAGUGGCGAAAAUAACGCAUGGAGAUUGGAAUUUUGGUGAAGUGGGGUCACAAUCCAUGAGUUGACUAUUUCAUAUUUUCAUUGAAGGACUUUAGUGUCAUUAAACGCUAGUUAUUCAUGUCAUAGCAUACCUUAACUUUCAUGUCUGUUUUACAUUAUGUACAGAUAUUAUUAUGUUAUGUCUAUUUUGGACUUGUAGUGGGUACGCAGCCCUAAAAAUGAGAAAUGGAAUGCCAUAUAUUAUUAGUAAUCCACAAUUUGUGUCAUUUGUGUUUGGAUUGCACUUAAAGUUAAGUUAAGUUUAACUGCAUGGAAAUGCCAAAUCUAACUUCUGGUCUGUUUGGAUGCAGAAGUGAAAAUGAGAAGAAGGAAUAUAAGAGGAAAGAGUAUAAGAGAAAAGAAUAUAAGUGGAAAGUAGAGUGAUUUUGAAGUUGUUUGGAUUGAGGAAAAAAGAAGAGAGAGUGAAAGAAAAGUAAGAAUAAUAAAAAUAAGUGUGAUAUAUAAUUACUAUUUUGUCCCUCACGUAUGAUUCUUUCACAUUUCAAAAUUUAAGUAUUUUUUUAAAUAACCAUUUUUAUUUAUAGAAUAUGAUUUUUAUUUUAUUUUGAAAUUAUAUGUUUCAGAUAAUUUUUUGAUAAAUUUGGAUUUAAAAAUAAUUUUAGAAAAUGGAAAAAACUAGAAAUGGAAAAAAUUGGAAUAAUAAGAAUAAUAAUAUUGCAUAUGACGUACAGUAAGUUAAAUAGGGGCAUUGUUGUGUUUUCAAGUAAAUUCUCACGUCCCCUCCGUUUUCUUUGCAUCUUUGAGAAGAAAACUGUCAUGCAUGUACUGUAUUUGUCAGUUUUCAUGCCUUUUACCUUCUCAUGGGUUAUCCAAACACAUAGCAAUUGAGUUUUCCAGCUAUUUUCCAACCCACCCCCUUUCCUUCCUGGGAAAAUCACCCUAAACAAACACAGUAAAAGAAAACAAUCAGGAUGAGUUUGAAAUUAUGGGCCUAAUGAACUCCAAGUUGCUAUGUCCCAUAUCCUAUAUCCCACAUGGUGCACAAUCCUCCAAAUCCUUGAAAUAAUGGGCCUAGUGAACUCAAGUUUAUACAAAAAAAUAAUAUCCUAAUGUAUAAUUUUGAUUUACACCCAGCAUUAUGAUUCUAAAUUACAUAAUCCUCUUUAACAAAAAAUAAUAAUUUACAGUCUCAAUAAUCACGUGGAAUAUCCAGAACCACAAAGAACUCUUUAAACACCAUUAUCUCAUCCACAUUGCCUGGUUGGUACUUGAAACCACCAGAUUUUCCACCAUGUUGAAGCUGCCAAGUGACUACUGACUCAUUUUGGAACCAAACAAUAACUUACCUCCUUUCUCUGAUUACUUCUCAUCCUCUCUCUCUCUCUCUCUCUCUCUCUCUCUAAAAUUUCAUAUUGGAAAUGGCAUUAACACUACCACAGCUUAUCCCUUCCCCUCCAUCAUCUUCCCCUCUAUCUCACAACCCCUGCCAAAACCCCACCAGACUCUCCAUAAACCCUAACUUCCCAUCCUCCUCAACAACUCAUGUCCUCCACCACCACCGCCGCCGCCGCGGCGGCAACCUCACGUGCUCGGCUUCGUCUUUCUCGGAGAAGCAUCACACCGACUCCCCGAGGUCCGACGACGUGGUGGAGCUUCCUCUGUUUCCACUCCCUUUGGUGCUCUUCCCCGGCGCCAUCCUCCCUCUCCAGAUCUUCGAGUUCCGCUACCG
rnacentral:lncRNA from 1 species